rnacentral:pre_miRNA from 1 species
UGGAGAAGUAGACAUGGCGUGAUAUUGAUUCGGUCUCAUUAUUCAAUCUAUCUGUUACGUUGUUUAAACAAAAUAUAAUAGAUGGAUGAGAUGAGCCGAACCAAUAUCACUCUUGUAUUCUUCUUU